AGGGUUCGAUUCUGGCUCAGAGUGAACGCUGGCGGCGUGCUUAACACAUGCAAGUCGAACGAGAACGGGCUAUAGCUUGCUAUAGUUGUCAGCUAAGUGGCGCACGGGUGAGUAACGUAUAGGUAAUAUGCCUCUUACUAAGGGGUAACAAUUGGAAACGAUUGCUAAUACCUUAUACUCCUUAUUAACCUAAGUUAAUAAGGGAAAGAUUUAUUGGUAAGAGAUUAGCCUGUAUUGUAUCAGUUAGUUGGUGGGGUAAUGGCCUACCAAGACUAUGACACAUAACUUGCAGAAACUUAUAUACAGGUGCUGCACGGCUGUCGUCAGCUCGUGUCGUGAGAUGUUGGGUUAAGUCCCGCAACGAGCGCAACCCCCGUGUUUAGUUGCUAACAGUUCGGCUGAGAACUCUAAACAGACUGCCUACGCAAGUAGGAGGAAGGUGAGGACGACGUCAAGUCAUCAUGGCCCUUACGUCCAGGGCUACACACGUGCUACAAUGGGAUAUACAAAGAGCCGCAAUACGGUGACGUGGAGCAAAUCUUAUAAAAUAUCUCCCAGUUCGGAUUGUAGUCUGCAACUCGACUACAUGAAGUUGGAAUCGCUAGUAAUCGUAGAUCAGCUAUGCUACGGUGAAUACGUUCCCGGGUCUUGUACUCACCGCCCGUCACACCAUGGGAGUCGAACUCAUUCGAAGCGGGGAUGCUAAAAUAGCUACCUUCCACAGUGGAUUUGGCGACUGGGGUGAAGUCGUAACAAGGUAACCGUAGGAGAACCUGCGGUUGGAUCACCUCCUUUCU
rnacentral:rRNA from 1 species